GUCCUUGCGACACCACCUCUCAGCCUUUCUCCGCUCGCUGUUCUCGCCACAGGGGGUUGGUCGCGCGCGCGCCGCACCAACACGUCGAACCAUCGUGAACCACACGACGCGACACGAUAUGAUAUAUACGCGGAGUAUAAUUCGCUUCCCUCCGUCGAGCAGCUGCUGUUCGUUUUUCGCGAUAUAAACAGAGAGAAAGAGAGAGAGAGAGAGAGAGAGAGAGAGAGAGAAAGAAAUCGCGCGCCCGAUCCAGUCGAAUCGGAGUGUACACAGUGAUCAGAGUGACACUUUCGCGUGUUUUUUCUUUUUUUUUUCGGUUCGACGCGCGACACCAAGAACCGAUCGAGUUUCGACGUAGCUGAAGGAGAAACCUCGGUCGAUUUCAGUUGAGUUGAGCGGAAAGAUCGUGGUAAAACGUUAAUAUCGAGCUGUCUCGCGGGAUAAUGGAUCGGUCGCGUGGCGAGGGACGAUGGACAAUAGCAGGCCCGGUGGCUUGACGGGUCCUGCGUCAAGCUGCUCGAGCGACGGAUCGCUACUAUGCCGCACGUACGCGCGUUGAUCGUCGCCCGAGAUCGACCUUUCGAACUUUUCAACAAGUUGUAACGCGUCGACGACGCAGUUACGCUAGUCAACCCCUUCCACUGGACGAUCAUCCGCCCGCUUCGAUCGGAUUGUGCUCUUUUUUUUUUUUUUUAUUUGUGCGUGUGUGUACUCCGAGCAAGCGCCAAGCGCGGGGGUGGAGUAUCUCGUAUCGCGAUCCUUCGUGGACCGGAAGGAUCGUACGAACGAUGUUUACUUCUCUGUUGGCUCACCAGUGAAUUGUCAGUGAGGGGAAAAAGUUUCCUCCGGUGACUUUUAUCGGGGUUGGGUUAACGAGCCACGCUAAUUGACCGAAGAUCGAACAGACGAUCCUCGAAUCGUCGAAACAAUUUGGCAACUGGCUGAAAACUUGGCGGAAACGUCUUCCUUUUUUGGAAAUUGUGUAACACGGUUGGACGAUCGUCUCCAAGUUCCGACAACCGUUUUGCAGUUCCCAGAGAGGCGAUCGACUUCGAAAAGGAACAGGUGGUGACGACCUCGAGCGAGCGAGCGAGCGACGCUGAAGCUCGCGGAACAAGGGGCGAAGGAGAGUCGCCGAGCGAACUCGCUGGAGAAAACACGAGAAACGAAGAGUACCAGCCGUGGUACGCGUGGACGGUGAACGGAGAGCGAGAGGAAGCGUGGAGGAGAGAAGAGGAAGACAAGGGGUGGCGGCAAUCGACAGAUGAGAGUUUGAGUCGCAGAGAGUGGUUUCGAGUGGAGGCUGGCGCGAGUUAGCUCGACUCGAGGAAGGGUGGUGGAGGAGCGUCGAAAGCACGGAGCCAACUAGAAGAGGGAGCCUCGCUUGGGGGGGAAAAAAAAGA